UACGUAGGGUGCGAGCGUUAAUCGGAAUUACUGGGCGUAAAGCGUGCGCAGGCGGUUCGUUGUGUCGGUGGUGAAAGCCCCGGGCUUAACCUGGGAAUGGCCAUGGAAACUGGCGAACUGGAGUGUGGCAGAGGGGGGUGGAAUUCCACGUGUAGCAGUGAAAUGCGUAGAGAUGUGGAGGAACACCGAUGGCGAAGGCAGCCCCCUGGGCUGAGAUUGACGCUCAGGCACGAAAGCGUGGGGAGCAAACAGG
rnacentral:rRNA from 1 species